GCAGACUUGGUUAUGAUGGUAACGCUGUCCGCUUUUUAAGCGGAUGAUCAUGGGUUCGAUUCCCAUCUGCU
rnacentral:tRNA from 2 species